GGAUCGUGUUUUAAGUAUUACUCCUAUAUAUGUAUGCAUGCUUUCAUAAAGUGGCAUAUAGUUAAUGUUUCUACAAGAUAUAAAGUAAGACUUUUGCUUUCUGUAAAUAUAUGUAAGACCAAAAUGUAUUUACGAUUACUAAAGUGUUGAGUACUACGCAUCAUAUGAGAUUUUUUUUUUUUUUUUUCUGUACGUACAGAAUUAACGUUGCCUUCAUGGUUGUAUCCAUAAUUCAUAUAUCAGAAAAUGAAAAUGCAUGGAUGUGUAGAAACGAAAGGAAUUGCUACUUUUUUUGCCUGGUAUUGUGUUUCUCUCGACAAAAUGUAUUAAAGAAACAUUGUUUGUAAUUGUACAUCAAUUAAAUAGAGAGAUCUAGUAUUUGUUUAUUUUUGCUUCUUUCCAUUAGAUUUACACGUAACACAAUGUGAGACAAAACAAAAUAAUUGAGAAUCCUAAGACCAUGAUUAAUGGUUAGUACUCUUUGUGGGUUGCUUGCCAUUUUAAUAUUACAAUUUGAAAAUUUUAAGGUUAAGCAACGUUGCCUCAGUUGCUGUUAGAAGCAACGUUUCUCAUUAAAGUGGACAUUUUUUAUUAUUUUUGAUUAAAUUUCUGGUCCACUUUUUUUAGGCAACCCAUUUAUUUUCCCCAGUGGACUUGCUCUAAGAGACGGAUGUUGGAAGGUCCACUCGACCAAAUAAACGAUAAAAAACUGUGGUUAAUACUAAUUUAUCACUACAAAAAAAAUGAGUGUAUUGAAUCAUUUAUUUUGUAACUUUACAUUACUUAUAAGUGAUACAAUGAAAUUUUACAUCAUUUAUAAGAGUGAUACUUAUAUUGCCGAUGCAAAUAAAUCACAUCGGUUUUUAAUCAACUGAUGCAAAAGAAAAAAAAUUGUAUCAGUUCUUAUAACUGAUAUUAAUAAUGAGUCAAUUUUCAAAAAUGAUACUAUAUUUCCUAUCAGUUUGUAAAAGUGAUGUUAUUAUUUGUGUCGGUUAUCAUAAUCGAUGUCAAUUAUAUAUAUAUAUCAAUUUCAAACAAACUAAUAUAAUUAAUUUAAAAAAUAUAAUAAUUAAUUACGAAAUAAUAUACUUAAUUACGAAAUAAUUAUUAUUAAAUUAAAAUAUUAAUUAUUUUAAUACAUUUACUAAUUAUUUUUUCGUUUGUUAUUUUUCCUAAUAUAUAGCAAAAUUAUGGUGGAUAUUUUCUCUCAAAAUCUUGUUGCAAUAUAUCUACUAAAAAUCUAAUCAAAUAUAUCACAUGAACAAUCAAAUCUUUAUUAAAAAAAUAUAUUACAAUUGGGUUUUGGUUUCNNNNNNNNNNNNNNNNNNNNNNNNNNNNNNNNNNNNNNNNNNNNNNNNNNNNNNNNNNNNNNNNNNNNNNNNNNNNNNNNNNNNNNNNNNNNNNNNNNNNCUUUGCUCCAUGCUUCUUCCUUUGUUAAUUGUUCUUUCUUCUUCAGUUCUUCCUCUAAAAAAACUUCAAAUCUUCUUCCUCUUUAAAAACUCUUGCUUUGAAGUAUCUUUAUCCUUCUUCACCGCAAGAAUUUCUUAAGUAUGAAAACCAAUAAACACACAAUGAGAAAAAGAAGAAGAAGAAAGGGUUUAGAAGAUGAACUUAUCGAAAUGAUUUUCUAGAAAUGUAAACUUAUAUAUAACUUGAUUCACCUGGAGUUGUAUGGUUGGAAAAUAAAAUUUCUUUGAAAAUUUUCAGAGAAGAGUUUUUGUCGUAUGAUGAUUUUCAUAUUUUUUGUUUGUGUUUUGUGAAAUGGAAAGAAAAGUUUUAGAAAAUAUUUAUACAUAAAAGGAGUUAUCUGAUAUUUAGAGAUCGUGGGUUAGUUGGUGAUAUUUUGAUUUUUUAUUUUAUUUUUAAUAAAACAGUUUAUCAAACAUAGUUGAAAAAAAUAAUAAAUAAAAGAUGAGGACUUUAGAGAAAAAGUAAAAAUCAAUUUUUGACAUAUAAAAUAUAGAACACAAUCGUAAAUUAAAAUAUUAUGAAAACAAAAAAAUAUUUAAAGUAAUAUUUUAAAUAAAAUUAUAUCAUCUUAAUUUAUGAAUUUUUUUCUAAUUACCCCGUUUUCUAAAAAUAUAUAUAAUUUAUUGAUGCCAUCACAUUUUUAUGAUGUUAAUUUUGUAUCAUUUAAAAAAUCGAUUUUAUCAAAAAAAAAUACAUACAUCAAUUAUCUAAAUGAUGUAAUUAUGUAUUUUACAUCAAUUUCUUUUAAAGUGAUACAAUCUAGUAGAAAUUGAAUCAGUUUUAAAUAAUUGAUGAAAAUUAGUUAAUAUUAGCAUCAGUAAUGUAAUUGAUGUUAAAUUAUUUAUAUUUGCUUCACUUAUUAAAAAGUAAUUUAAAAUAAAAUCACUUAAAUUUGUGAUACAAUUUAAGUGAUACAAUAUAGUCAUUUUUUUUGUAGUGUAUUACGAGGGUCUAAUUUAUAAAUAACAAAGUAUUAAAAAGCUAGUUGGUUUAGGUGAAAGUAAGACUAUGACAUUUGUCUUAUUCACUAAAGAAACGAUACUUUAGCCUCUAAACCCGCUCAACAGCAAGUACAUAUUGUGCAACCAGACUCACAAUUAGUAUGAGAUGAUAAACUUAAUUCUAUAGUAAAUAUAGUUCUUACUUAUUUGUUAGUACUUUGAAUAAAGUGGUACACGAACAAUAAUUUUUUUUCCCUAAGGUUAUGUAUAUGUAAUACGUAUGAUUAAGAUAAUAGGAGUAAUAUAUCUUUUGUAUUGGGAUGUACAUAUCUUUUUCUAUUGCAUGGGAUAUGCAUAUCUUAUCUCAUACUUGUAUAGAAAUGUGCACACGAGUUUUAUUUUGCAACUAAAUUUGACUGUGAUGUUAUAUCGCCGUAUAACUAUGAUUUGCAUAAGUUAACGACUCAGAAAUAGUCUAUAUGUAAUAAAUAAUAAGCAAUCUUAAUUAUACUCUUCGAGUUGGUAAAUUGGUGCCUUGUUUUCUGCCGCUUGUCUCCAACUCUAUCCAACCACUUGGUCUUGGUUGAGAUAAUGAUACAUCAAAAAUUUUACGUUUUUAAAAAUAUACAUUUUCGUUUGUUAAAUCUAGAGUCUAUGCAUGUGAUUAGAGAGCUGAUUUGGGUCAAACGUACAGUAGAGUUUUGAUAUGUUCAUUGCGUUGCGAAUUUUAAGGUCAUUUAAACGAAAUCACAAAAUCACAAAAACCUCUGUCAACAACCUCACUGUUUCAAACGAAAUCACAAAAAAAGGAAUCCGAGAAGAUAUAACUUGCUUACAUGUUUUCAAGCAUUUAUCCGAGUAAACCGAAGAGUCACUAUAUGAUUGUAUCCAUAACAAGGUUUACAAAAAAAAAAAAAAAAAAAAGAUUGUAUCCAUAACAAGAAAAUUAGUAGUAGACUUGGGGAAAAAAUUAGACAAUAACUUUGACUCGAAUAACUUAAAGUUGCACACCUACCUCAAAAAUUAUAUAGGUCAAUCUCAAAGAUAUGAGAUCACUAUCGAGACGGAAAAUAUAUAUAUAUGAGACGACGACCAUGUGCAAUGCAUUUGGAUUUCUCUUUUGCUUACCUAUCAAUUUAAAAGUUUUCUUUAGACUUUAGUGAUAUUUGUUACUGUGAUAUCUCGGUUACUACAGUUUUAUGCAUUUAUAUUCAAUACUACCAUUUAUGUAAAUGUAUUGUUGUGUGUUAAUUCAAAUGAGACGUCCGAUGAUUCAUUCAUGUGUAAGCAAUCCCCUCAAAGAACACAAUUGUGUUAUCAACUUAUCAUCAUUAAUUAUAUAAAUUAAUAUUUUUUAUUUGUUUAAAAGGGCAAAUAAGCAUCAAAGCUGGAAUAGCUCAGUUGGUUAGAGCGUGUGGCUGUUAACCACAAGGUCGGAGGUUCGACCCCUCCUUCUAGCGAUUUUUUAUUCUUUUAUAGGCCAAUGUGCAAUCAACUUUUUUAUAAAAAUGUCAAACUUCAUUCUCAAUCUUAAACUUCGUUACAAGUGUCUUGAGUUGCAUAUCAAAAGCACAAAAAGAUAAAAGUGUGCAAAACACACAUUUUAUUAUACAAUCUGCAAAGCAUUAUUAUUACUCUUCCUUACACACAUAAACAUCAUUUUACCACUUCGACAACAAACAAAACCAAAACACACAAACUAUGUAUACUCUUCUCUAUAUGAUCAAAUAUCUUACAUCAUAUUCUAAAAUGUCUACCACCAACGCUUUUAUUCAUAUCUUACAUCUUUCUCUGAAGAGUAAUCAAAUCAAGAGUGGAUCCAUAUUUCACAUUCAAAGCCUGUGCACACCAACCGUGUCCAUCAUCAACUGUAGGCAUCCUCACUUCAAUCACAGGAACCACUGGACUCGAUGAUCCCGGCAUCAACACAGCUGCGAAAACCCGCAAAGCAUUUGACGCAUCGAUGUCCAUGCAAACAUUGAUCGCUGGAACACCUUUAGGUGCCGGUGGAAUCCCAACGAUCUUGAAAUACCCAAGAAGAUGGUUCUCUUCGACGGUCUCUCCUUCUCCUUCGUAUAUGAUGAUCAGAGCUUCCUUCUGGUUAUCCUGGACCGUCGUGAAGAAGAGGUCUUUCCUAGCUGGAACCAUAGUGUUACGCGGAAUCACAGGUAUGAAUCUGUUUCCGUUUGCUCUUAUUCCAACUGCAAGAGGUGUUGCUUGUAUGGUCAAGAGAUCUAAGCUCCCAAACGGAUCAUGAAUUCCUGAAGUCACCGCACCUUCUAAAGCAGCUCCUCUAACAGCAGCUUCUAACGGAUUCACGCCUUUGUAAAUCUCGUCUUUCUUGCAUACAUUCUUGAGAAUGUUUCUCACUUUUGGGAUGUAAGAACAGCCUCCAACCAUUAUCACAUCGUCAAUAUCACCAACCUCGACUUUUGCAUCUCGCAGGCACUGCACAACAAGUCUCUCACACUCUUCAAAUACCUUCUGGUUCACAUCCUCAAACUCCACUCUAUCAAGAACCUUGGAAAUCUUGUUACCAUUUCCCAAAUCGACUUCAAUCUGGACAUUGUCUUGAUCAGAUAGCCUGUGAAUAGCGUCCUGUGUCGCUACACGGAGCAACCCCGAAGCUUCUGCUCCUGGUGGCGCGAUAUGGCGCAUUGUGUUCUGCAGAAUAUCUUCUCCUCCAGUGGGGCUUCCUGCCAAGGCUUUUAUCUGUGAAACACCACCAGCAGUUGCAGUAACCGCAACAUCGCAGUAACCAGCACCUAGAUUGAAUAUAAGCGCAAGCCUCUCGCUUCCGCUCCCCAUGUUAUCGUGCGUAGUCAUCUGCUGCUGUUGAGCAUACAGCAAGGCGACUGCAGUUGGUUCUGGCAUCAAACGAAGAACAUGAAGUCCGGCCAUAGCGCAAGCUCGCUCAAUCCGUGUAAGCUGGAACCUAGAGAACGAAACCGGAACCGUGAGCACUACAUUCCUCACAGGCCGUUUCAACUGAGCUUCAGCCAUCAGACGUAAUUCCACAAGAAAUAUCGCUAAAACUUCCUCUGGAGUAGUGGAUCUCCAAGCAUUGUUCACCAAAGCCGCAAUAAACGGUCUGACACCAAUGUCAAGAGUUUGAACCAAGAAAGGAAGGUUCUUGCUGGCGUGAACCACAGGAUCAGUGUCUACACGACCGAUGAGGCGCUUCAUGUUGAAUACAGCGGCUCCGGUUAACAUUUCCUGCUCGUGUGCGAGCUGGUUGCUAACUCCACCAGCAGGUACUUCGUCUUUGAAAGUGACGAAUGACUUGAUAAGUUUCUGGUUUCUUGUGUUCCUCAAGAUGUGAACUUGAGAACCGUUCCAAACAGCUAUACUGCACUGGGAAGUACCAAUAUCGAUGCCAACAGCGAUUUCGGGUAAUGAAGGAGACGAUGAUGAUUUCUCCUCUCCAGUGUUUUCACUGUCUGAUGCUACUGUGUAUGCUUGUUCUGCCAUUUCCUGCCAAAAAAAAAAAUCAGAGUCAAGACUCAAAGUCUAACAUAGACAAUACUAUAUUUGACAUUUCAUCAAACACAAUCAAAGAUUUGUCCUUGUGAACUAAUGAUUAGUGGUUUAUUUAUUUCCUUCCAUUUCAUCACUUAACAAUUAACAUUCAAACACGAACCAAAGUACUAAUUCUAACACAAACUAAAACUAAUUGUCAAGUGUUAGUAGUGGGAUUAACUCUACUACGAUUCCGAAAUUAAGAAACAAACUUGAAUCAAACAAAAAGCUAAACACAAUUAAUCGUAAUUUCCAUAACUAUAAGCACAUCAUAAAACGUAAUGAAAAAAAAAAAACCGUAAGAACAAAGAAAGUGUUAAUGCAAAAAGAGGACUCGGAAACAACAAACCUGAGCAAAGGAGAGAACUUUCACAAAAAGGGUUUGUUUGUAGCUGUUGUGGGAUUUAGAAGAAAUAGGAUUCGUGGGUCGAGAAAAGAAAAGACAAGGGAGUGACAAGAGAGGUGGGAGAGUUUAGAAGGUGCGAGAGAGUAAUAUGUGAUUGCUCGUCUUCUAGAGUCUGCUAGAGAAACCUCGGUGCUUUUUAGAAAACAGAGGAGGGAGUGAUGAUUCUUUUGCCGACCCAACCAAAAAUAUAAAACUAAAACAGUAUAAAUCUACUCUUGUUUUAAAAAAGAAAAAACAAAUGGGCCUAUUUCUAAUAAACUAAGUGGGUCGAUUUAAGAGGACGUAGAUGGGUCUGUAUCAGAUAUCAGCCCAACUAUGGAUCGUAGAUUAUGAUAAUUGUUUCAAUUAGUUUUGUUAAUGAAAUUAGUAAAUCAACCAAUAGUGUGUAUCAGAUAUCAGGCUUAUCAGAGGCCAAUAUCUAUCUUAACAUUUUUAAAUUACACUUUGUACUAAAAUCAAUUUAGGAUUAUAACCUUUUAGUUUGCAAUAUUUACAUAAUCAAACCCUUGCCAUUUAAACAAAUAACAAAACUUAAAAUAAAUUUUGUAAUUAAAUCACAACCAAAUCGCAAAAUUGGAAACAAAUAUUUAUUACAUCAAAAAAUUUCCUAAAAUCUCUCUAUAAUAAAUCGAAUCUCUCUCUAAUAUAUUUAUAUAAUCUUAUUUGUUUUUAACUUAUAUUAUUACAUAAAAAAAUAUUUAUAAUAAAAAUAUAAAUUUUCUUCCACACAAUUUACAAUUUAAAUUUUUGAAAAUGAAUGUAUAGAAGUCAAUCGAUAAAGGAAAAAAUAUAUGUACAACGUCUACAUAAGGUAGAAAAAUUUAGAUAAUAGUUCAAAACCAUUACAAAUAUGACUAAUAUGCUUCCAACUACAAACUCCAAAUUAAAAAUUAUCCAGUUUCAUUCGGUUCUUUAUUUAUGAAAAAAUAAAUCUUUUAAAAUAAUACUUUAAAAAAGUUACAAAAUAUUAUAAAUUUUAUUUUUUAAAAAAUUUUAAAAGCUUCAAAUAUUAUAAUAUUGAAUUAAGCUUUAUAUAAUAUAAUAAUUGAAAUAUUAAAAAUAUAAAAAAACUCUACAAAAAAGUUAAAGUAUUAUUAAUAUUUUAACUCUAAAAAAUAAUAAUAAUAUUGUACAUAAAUAUGAUUGAACGACUUUGAGUUUACAUAAAUAUGAUUAUGUUUUUCAGACGGGUUUGUCUAUAUUUAAAAUCUUUACGGGUUAUGGUAAAAUAUAUAUUUUUUUAUUUAUAACAAAUUUGUCUUGCGGUGUACCCUAGGUUCACUACAUAUAUAUAUGAAUCUACUUAUAAUAAAAAUUUAUAAAAUUUUAUAAAAUUAUAAUGAUAUGAACACGUAUAAACUAGACUAUAUAAACCAACUACGAAAAUAACAAAUUAAACAAAUAUAUUAAAUUAUGGACCCGUGGUGUAACACGGGGUAAAUCCUAGUUGUUGAACAAAAAAAAAAACAAUAGUGUGUGACUGUGUUCAAUAACUACUUAAUUAGAUGGUUACAUCUAGUGGGCAAUGGAGAAGAAGUGUUACGUCAAAAUCAUGUUUUGUUGUUGUUGUUGUAACAGUUAGAUAAAUACAAAUUAUUGAAAACAAAAUACACUACAUUUGGUAACAAUAAGCCACUUUCCUAAAUUUUUGAAUUUUUUUUUUAUCUGCAAAAAAUUGGCAUCUACUUAACUCAUCAUAUAAAUUAAAAUCGACAUAUGAAUUUUUUGUACUUGCAAGAAACGUAUAAAAAAUAUAAUGAUUUGGAAUAUAUAUAUAUAUAUAUGUCAUUCUUCUCUGGCUUCAAUCGUUUGUUUUAAAUAAUUGUAUGAUAAUUAAUCAGAUGAAUAAUAGGAACAUAAAAAAAAAAAAAAAUUAGAAUCAUGCAUUGUUGGAAUCUUUCACAAUCGAUGAUGAAAUAAUAUUUUAAAUUAUAUGUCCAAUAACCAAUAACGCAACAAAUUGGUGACAUCUCUUUGAUGAGGAAAGUGGUGAUGUUAGGGAUAGGUCCACACAGACAGCAACUACAUUGCAAUUAUUAUUAUAAAUACAGAUUUCUACUAGCUAGUGUUUAUAAAUCAAACAUUAUAUCACCAGUAAAUAAUGUCAUAUUUCGUAUGAAAAUUCAAUUCAGUAGAUUCAUCAUGCAUGGCUUAAUUUGUGUGUGUGUGUGUGUCUGGCCUUUAUGUGUUUCUAAUACCUACCGAUCGACACAUCACACAUGAUAUUCUACGUUUGUAAUAAUCUCCAACCAUUUUGGUGUUAAUUAGCAUGUGCAACACGUACAACGAAUUCGAAAAUUUAUGUAAUUCUAGCUAAAUCAACGCGUCGGCCCCGCGCCAAGAUAUCUCUUUACUUUUUAUGUCUGAAAAUUAAUAAAAACACGUGUUUUUGGUGUGCAGAAACUUGGGCUAAAUGGCAUCUAAUUUGAAGACAAUGGGCCGAUGCUGUUAAGGAACCGGUAGAAAAAAGCUAUAAAACAUAAUGAUGAUUGUACAUUUUCGGAUAUGAAACUUCAUCCGACAUUGAGAGUAAUUACAAAGGUACUAACUAUAGGUGUGUAACGCGUAUAGCCUAACGUUUAUAUUGUGCUCACACUGUAACAAUGAAAUCUUAUGUACAAUAGUAAAAGUUAACUGAACACCAUUUACAAAGACUUUGUUUAUAAAACAUUUUAACAAAGACUUAAACGCGUAUGGUUCGGAAACUCUUUGGAAUUUAAUAAGUGUUUUUUUUGGUAGAUUGUUUAAUUAAUCAAUAAGAUAGAAAGCGAUCAUUGCAACACAAAUCAGGAUAGAAUCAUAUGAUUCGAUUAAACAUAUCAAAUAUAAUAUAGUGUAAGAAAUUGUAUAACAAGAUAAAAUAGAAGAAGAAAAGGAUUUGAACCAUGAGUCAGCAGUCAGUAUCCAUAUGAUUUAAAUUAAACAAAAAAACAAAUAGAGAAAAAAAAAAAAAAAAGACUUUGGAGUUCCUAUAAAUACUAGUAGUAUUAAACAUCUCCAUUUCCUUCACGCCUCUUUGUUGUUGUUUGUUUGAUAUUUUCUUCCAAUUUCUCAAUUAUUCCAAAUGUUAUUUUCUUUUACGUCUUUACUCUCUUGCAAUGGAUUUCUCUCCCAUCAACUGCCUCAUUUUCGGUAUUAGCUAAUACCCUUUUUUUAAUAAGUAGUAAUAUCAACAUUUUGUAAACUGUAUUUUGAUAAAGUUUGUUCUCUAAUUUGUUUUUUUUUUUUUUGUGGUAAUUUGGUUUCUAAUUGUGUGAUCAUUAGAUUUGGAUGACACAUUAUACCCUCUGAAAACUGGAUUAGCGCCAGCGGUCAAAAAAAACAUCGACGGUAACUAAACUAUAACAAUUUAAUUAGAACCCAAUGAUUUGUUCUUAUAAAACAUAUAUUUAGUUAAUUAAAUUGAUAAUAUGGGGAGGGGCAGAUUUUCUAGUGGAGAAAUUUGGAUUCCCAGAAAGUAAAGCUUCAAGUUUAAGAGUUGAGCUCUUCAAGACUUAUGGGAGUACUCUUGCUGGUCUCAGGGUAAUUAAUCUCUUUUCUCCAUUUUUAUGUUUUCUCUAAACUAUUACUUCAUUAUACAUCUUCUAAUUUAUUUAAUUCUUUAUAUUCUUACUAAUGAUGUAGGCGUUAGGCCACGAUGUUCAUCCUGAUGAAUACCACAGGUAAUAUAACUAGUCAUCAUCAUCAUCAAUUCAUCAUCAUCAUCUUAAACAACUACUACUAUGAAAUAUUUUGAUCUCAGCGAAACAUUUGUUUAAUUUCGUGCAAAAUAUGUUUUGUAGUUUCGUACACGGAAGAUUACCGUAUGGCUCGAUCGAACCAAACAACAAGCUACGUAACCUUCUUAACAAAAUCAAACAGAGGAAAAUUGUAAGUUUAAUUUAAUUAAAAUCUUUAGUUAUGUAUCAUGAAUUUUUAUUAAAUAUUGUUUUGCCAAAAUGAAUAAAAUCAAUGUUCAUUCUUUGUUUUUUAUAUAUAUUAAUGUUCUUGGUUGUAGAUAUUUACCAAUUCCGACAGGAACCAUGCGGUGACGGUGUUAAAGAAACUGGGGUUAGAAGAUUGCUUCGAAGAGAUGAUCUGCUUCGAGACGAUGAAUCCGAAUUUAUUCGGAUCAACGACAACAACACGACCCGAUGAGCAUCCUGUCGUUCUCAAACCAUCCUUGGCCGCUAUGGACAUUUGCAUCCGUGUAGCUAACGUUGACCCUCGCCGAACGGUAAUAAUUUAUUCUUAUGUAAGACUUUGCUAAAAAAGCCAUAGAUAGCUUUACACGUAUCAUUUGUUUAAUCUGUUUUUAUCUUAUAUAUUAACAUAGGUGUUUUUGGAUGAUAAUAUCCACAAUAUUACCGCCGGUAAAUCUGUCGGCCUUCGCACAAUCUUGGUAACUUUUUUUUUUUUUUUAAUUUUUAUUCCGUUUACAUUUUACUAAUGACAUUUUGUAUGUGAGAAUGCAAUUUUAUAAAAUUUGGUUUUUUUUUAAGGUGGGGAGAGCAGAAAAGACUAACGAAGCUGACUAUGCGGUAGAGACGGUGACUGAGAUAGCUACGGAGGUGCCGGAGAUAUGGACGACGGCAACGGCUACGGGAGGUGAGAGAAUCAGACGGAGCAAGAGUGAGCUGGAGGGUAUGGUAUCAAUCACAGCCGUCGGUGCGUGACGUGAUGGAGUGAGAGAAUGAUGUGGCCGUUGGAUCCUUUUUAACGUUUAGUAGUUUGGGUUUGUACAGAUUGGAGCGUUAAAAAGAUGUUUGUUGAUAAUGCGCAUUGUGAAUAGAAUAAUAAUAAUUGUGGUGGUGGAGAAUAUCCAUCCCAUGUGGACACCAAUUGUGAAUAAAUCAAUCAAAAUAUUAUCUCAUGUAUGAUGACAAUGAUUUCAAUAUGUUUACAUUUUUAAGUCCUUUUUAUAUGGUAUCAUUUUAUUCUAUAUGCUUUAAAAUUUACAAAGUAAAACAUAAGAAGUUUUUUUGUGUGUUACAAAAACAUUAUAUUAUUAUUAUAAAUACAAGUUUUGUCCAUUCUAAUUUUUAUUAAAUAAUAAUUCAUAUUGUUAUUUUCUAAAACAUAGCACAGCAUUUUUAUUUGGUUAAUAUCCAACAUUGUCCGCAUCACCAUACCAAACACAAUGUUGGGUUGAAAUGCUAUAUGAUUUGUUUCAUGAAGGUGAAGAGAAACUCUAAGGAUAAAAGAAUGCUCAUAAAUUGUUUUCUUGAUUACUUUCUAAGUUUUUAGUUAUAUUUAUAUAAGAUAAUGUAAUUAAAAAUUAGUUAACAUAUAUUGGGAUUUGCAAAAAUAUCAUUUUUCUAAUCAUUUUACAAAAAUAUCAUUUCUUGUUGUCCAUUUUCAAUAAUACAUUUCUUAUACAAAAUGAGUAAAUUCUAAACCCAAACCUCUAAAUACUAAACUCUAUUUUUAAAAGUAUAUCUUAAAUGUAAAAUAUAGAAUUCAAACCUAAAAACAAAUUCUAAAAAUUAAUUUAGCAUAUGGUAAUUAUGUAAAAGAGGGUAAAAAUAAAAAUGACAAUUGCAAAAUGUAUCAAGAUAAAAGGCAUUAGUCAAAAAAAUUCAAUAUAUAAUAAAAUUAUUUCAUGAUUACAGUGCGAUAUGCCAUUUAAAAUAACUUUUAAAAGCAUGCGAAAUACCUUUUAAAAUACAAAUAUUAUCAACAAAACUUUUUCUUAUUUCACUUAUUUACAUGGUUCAUAUUAUCAACAAAAAUUAAUAUUAUUGUUUUUAUUAGGUAACGUUGUUCUUAACCGAUUUUGAAGCUCACACAUUCUAACUUCUAAUUCAAGUUAACUGCUUUAUUCUAUUAUAAUAAAUUAAAUUUCCAUUUUAUGCACUAUAUCUUAACAGAUUAGAAUUACAAUUUUCAUAUUAACAUGUAAACCAUAUCAUAUAUAUAUAUAUAUAUAUAUAUAUAUAUAUAUUUGUCCAAAAAACCCAUCUCAUAUAUUAUUUAGUAGUUUAAAAAAAAAUUAACGUCGUUUUUAAAAAUGACCUAUGUUUAGGCCCAUUUAAGGAACACGACGCAAAUUUGAAAAUAUCGUUUCUUUGUAUAAUUGAAGAGCCACCAUGAAUGAAAUGACAUCGACGGAGGAGGCUGCACCGGAAAUGGUUACAGCCACGGAAACGGAAACCGAAUUGAUAGAGAAGUCGAGUGAAGUGUAUGAUGAAGAAGAGGACGAGAAAAUACACUCUCAGUCUCAGAAGAAGCCUGUAGUAGCAGUUCUUGAAGCCAAAUCUCUUCCCGACAUCAUCAGUGCUUACCUCAAGUAUCUUUACUUAGUUCCAUCUUAAGACUUCAAUCUUUUUUUUUCUGAAGCUCUUGUUAGUAAUAAUCAUGUUGUUACUGGUGUGUUUUUUUUUACGGUGGUCAAAGUAAUUAAAGUUCGUUUUGUAAGGCCAUUGACUCAUUUUGCACGAGUUGACUUUUCUCUAAAUGCUUUGGAAAUUUUUCACAGUUAUCCCGACGCUGCAGAAGAGGAUCUGAAAAAAUGGGAAACAUCAUAUCAGAAGCUGUCUACUGCACACAAGGUACUCUUUGCUCUGUGAUAGAUAGUUGUAAAGAGAUCACCAAAUGAUUUCAUUUUCAUGUUAAGUUUUUUUUUUUUUUCCUUGUGCAGGCAUUGUUACCUCAUUACCCUAAGAAGUUUCAGAGUUUAAGAAGGUGUAACUCCAUUAUCAGUUAAUAUUUCACUAUCAUCUUGUAGAGUUAGAUAAAGCAUCAUCACAGGCUCGCUUGUGCUUGUCACAGAUAUCUUAAGUCUUGUUUGAAAUAUUAGCAAGUUGUUGGACUUUUUUCUUGCAGGUGCGUAUCGAUGAAUUCACAUUUCAUAACUAAUAUGCUUCAGGUUAGUUACUGACAUUUCUACUUCAGGUUAGUUAACCCAUGUUAUGUAAUGAUGUAUAAUUUAUAAUUUACUUGGCAGGCUUUUGAGCCUCCUCUAGACUUAAGCAAAUACAUGAGUCAGCGGAAAACAAGAGUAUUGUCUAUAGAGGUCAGAUCAAGACAUGGAACGUUUUAUUCUUUAUUUCGUUUACGAAAUUUAAUGUCUUUUUAUCAACGCAGGAGCUUCAAAGGAUGGAAGGUUAUGAUCAUUCUCUCAAGAAUUACUCUGCAGACACAAGAAUCAAUAAUAAGACAUGUGAAUUUUAUGGAGGCCAGUUCAGUGUAAUUAAUGCCAACUCAUAUAUAUAUGCUUUUAUACAGGAAACGUUUUAUAUAGUGCUUAGAAUUAUAUAAGACUUUUGGUGGAUCAUAUGAAAAUUUUAGUAGUAUCGUAGAUCGUGAAAGCGUUCUACUGUGAAGCAUAGGUUUGCGGUGUAUAUUUCUAAUUAUAAAUUUAUAAUUUUCCUCUUUCCUUUCUUAGGUGUCAUUAUCAUCUCAUGAUUUUCUGGAUUCGUCGUUACAGACACAUGUGCCUCUUGUUGAUGUAGAUAAGGUAUGCUUUUUCACUUUAAUAUGGCUAAUGAAUGAUGAUGAUAUUCAUUUCUUCAUCCUAGGUAGCCAUAAUCUAGUAGAGGUUUAGUAGUGUGAGACAAAAGAUAGUAAGGCGACCUGUUAGAAUCUAUUUCUUACUCUUUGAUGGUUCCAUUAGGCAGUUUGGAAAUUUAUGGAGGUCGAUUUCCUCGUAAAUAGAAUCUUCUUGUAUCUAUGCAUAUGAACAUGAUAGAGGUGACACAGCAUGGCAAUACAACUUUUUAUGUAUAUGUUUGUUGUAUGUACUGAUCACAUAUCUACUACUUACGAAAUGUGAAUGGUUUUGUUGUAUUCUGACACAGGUUCGUUGGGUGAUGAGAAAUAUAGUUCGAGACUGGGGAGCAGAGGUAACCAUAUAUUUGUUUGUCAUUUUCUUCUGACAAUGAUGUUGUACUCACUCUCUUUCUUGAAAUUAAUAUCACAACUUUAGCUGUUAGUGUAUAUUCUCUGUAUUUACAGGGUCAGACCACACGAGAUGAAUGCUACAAGCCUAUCCUUGAAGAGCUUGAUUCCUUGUUUCCUGAUCGUCAGAAAGAGAGGUACACCGCGUUACUGUUAAUUGUUCCUGACUUUUGAGUCUGCUCUGACCUCUCUCAUCAUGGAAAAAGUACAAUUUUUAGAAAUGUAGAAACUUUUGACUAAAGAGAGACAGACUAAUAGGAAAAUGGUAUUUGUUUUGGCUAUUGAGAUUAACAAGCAUGAUUAAGCCUUUUAGUACCUGCUAGAUUCACUCUGCUUACAAAGUAUAUAUAUAUGAUUUGUGAUUUGCAGCACUCCUCCUGCCUGUUUAGUCCCUGGUGCUGGACUUGGACGUCUUGCCCUUGAAAUUUCCCGUCUAGGCAUGCAGUAAAGAAUCAAAAGUUUUAUUCUUUUAAUCUUGUAGCUUUGAUGACAAUGAGGAAUAACAAGUCUUGUACAUUGGAACAGGUUUCAGAAGCGUAGGAAAUGAGAUUUCAUAUUACAUGAUGAUAUGCUCAAAUUUUAUUCUUAAUUAGUAAGAGUUUCUUGCUUUCUUGAAUAUUUUUUCUUAACCAAGGUUUUAGUUCUUGAUUUAGUGUCUUCUGUGAGUUAGUUUCUUCAUUACGGUCCUGUUUUUUUUGAGUAUUGCUCUGCUUGUUGUUUGUUUUCUCAUCAGUACACAAGUGCUUGAUGAGUGGACAGUCUACCCCUGGAUAUACACCAACUGCAAUUCUCUCUCGGAAAAUGAUCAACUACGUCCUGUUUCUAUUCCUGAUAUUCACCCUGCAAGGUAUGUCUUAUCGAACCGCAGAGAGAACUGGCCAAUGGUAUGAAAAGAAUUUAUCUUUUUUAAUCUUUCUGUAAAACAUUAGAGAACUCAAUCAAAAGAGUUUAUGUUAACUCAAACAUAAGAGAACUCAAUAUGUAUUGGUAAGUGUUUAUUAUCUAACUUUACUGAAGGAGUUUAUGUAAACUUAUUAUGUGAGCAGUGCAGGAGUAACAGAAGGUUUCUCUAUAUGUUGUGGUGAUUUUCUUGAAGUAUUAUUCAAUGAAUCAAGUCAUGCAGGUAUCGAAACAGUGACUAGUUUGAUUUUUGAUUAAGCCAAUAUGGGAUCCACCAAUAUGCUAUAUUGUUCAUUCCAAACGCCACCCACACUUGUAAUGUAACCAGUAUCACUGAAUUUUCAGGGAUGUGGGAUGCAGUUGUGACUUGUUUUUUCAUCGAUACGACUCGUAAUAUCAUCGAGUACAUCGAAACGAUAUCCAAAGUCGUAAAAGAUGGAGGAGUAAUUUCUUCUUUACCCCUUUUUUCCAAGGCAUUUGAUCUUUCAUUGCUCCUGACUGUCUAUAUUGAAAUUUCCAUCAGGUUUGGAUCAAUUUAGGACCUCUGUGUUAUCACUUUGCGGACAUACCUGGCCUAGAAAAUGUAAUAAGCUUUGGACUUGUCCCACAAUCUCGUUAUGAAUUUGUGACAUCAUGAUGUAAGAUAAUAUUUUUGUUAAUACUUAAGGAAAUGUCGAUCGAACUAAGUUUGGAGGAUGUAAAGAGAGUUGCUUCGCAUUAUGGGUUUGAGAUUGAGGUAAUGACAUUAAUUUUGUCAAGAAUAGAACACCUCAUGUCCUUCUUCCUCCACACUCAGUGCUUGUCCUAACAUUUGCAGAAAGAAAGAACAAUUGAUACAACGUACUGUGCAAAUCCCCGGUCUAUGCAGAAGGUAAGGUUUUUCAUGUCCCUCUGGAUUUGAUUUAUCUCUAAUCUCUAAGCUCAAACUAAUUAUUGAAAAUCAAAAGGUUGAUUUAUUUGUGAUACUCUGUGUGUUGCAGAACCGCUACUAUUCUGUCUUCUGGACAAUGAGGAAGAAGUGUGCUACAUAAUAAAACUUAUCCAAACAUCCCUAAAGAACAUUCCAUUGUGGAGCAGUUGUUUUGUGUUGCACUUUGAUAUGUUUAUUACGAUCCAAUCUCAAAAGUCAAAACACGAACCAUUUCUUGUGUUGUUGUAAACUAAAUAAACUGUGUUCUCGGUUGAUGAACACUUGUACUCCGACUUUUUCGUUAUCCUUAGGCCACUCAUAAGAGUCACAAGUCACUACUCACUAGAGCACCAAGGGACAGUGUUAAGUUUUGACUUAUUUUUACUUAAAAGUUAAACGAACCCUAUGACAUCUCCCCUACACUGCACACUUGUAAGGCUUAGUACUUGUGAAUGUUUGUGUCGGGAAACACUCACCACAGUAUUAGAAAACAGAGCAUAAAACAGAGAAUUUUGAGUUCAGGUUGUAUUGUGAUGAGACCCUACAUCUUUGCUAAAUAUAAUGUCUAAAAAGCAAUCCACAGUUUAACAUUUGUCUUAAUACAAAAAAUGGGCUAAGCUAAGGCCCAUUAAGGAACAUCAUGAGGCAUAAUUAAAAAGAAACCGUUUCCUCGUAUAAGGCGAAGACGCGGCGACGAAAUUCCAAAACAAAAAGAGCCAGCCACCAUGUCGGAGCCGGAGACGGAACCGGCACCGGAAAUAGUGACAGAUAUGGCCACGGAAACGGAGACGCCGAGGGAAGUGCCUGAUGAAGAGGAGGAGAAAAUACGCCGUCUGAAGAAGCUUGAAGAAGCUCUCGAAGCCAAAUCUCUUCGUCGCAUUAUCAGUGCUUAUCUCAAGUAUAUAGAUUUUUUUUUUUUUACCUCAGCCUUAUUCGGAUUUUAUACCGUUUCAUACGUAUUACCUGAAAUGUCAAUAUAUUUGAGGAGAAUUGUCUGAUUGAUUGGAAUUUCAAAUCACAAUUUCGGAUUGGUACUGUGUUCUUCUUUUUAGGGUUUAGUAGUGGUGCUAAGUUAUGGGAACUUGUUUUUGGCUGGAUGUUCAUGCUUAUGACUCGAGAAUACUUUGAUUUCUAGGAAUACUUUGAUUUUUUGUUUUUUUUUUUUUGUUUUUUUAUAGUGUAAGCUUCGCAUUCAAGGUCAUUACUUUUGGUUUUCUUACAUUGUUUGUAUUUGUAAUCCGAGAUUUUCUGAUCAAAUUUUGCAUUUUUCAUGGUUCAUUUGAAGCCUCCUGUAGAAGUGUUUCGUAGGGCUGUCUAGUAAUUUAUGUUUAAAGGUUCUGCAUCAUUGACCUUUCCUUGUCUUUUGGAAAUGUUUACAGUUAUCCCGAGGCUUCAGAAGAGGAUUUGAAAAGAUGGGAAAGAUCAUAUCGGAAGCUGUCUCCUGCACACAAGGUAGUUUCUGUUUCCUGGUUUCUAGCCUUGAGAUAUCUGAUAUGAUUAGUAGAGAGAAUAGUAGCAUGUUCUACUAAAAAUGGCUGUAAAUGUUUUUUCCCAUAGUUGCGUCUAGAGAAAAAUGAAAGUUCUUGUUUCUGUUGUGUUUGUUAUUUGUUAUCUGUUGUGUUACCAGUUGAUAUUAUGUUAAUGAUUUAUUUCUAUAGCAUGAUUUAGAAUUUGAAAUGCUUAACGAAGCAUAGCGGUUAAGAGAUCACCAAAUGAUUUAAAGUCAAAGUUGAUAUUUUUGUCGAAUAUUCUUUGUGUGCUUAUGAUUAUAAUAGAACUAACGAAUUUCAGUGAUGCCUUUUUCCUUUUCCAGGCAUUGGUACCCCAUUUCCCUAUGAAGUUUCAGAGAUUAAGAAGGUGAAAUCUAGAACCAGUACAUGUUUCAGUAUAAUCUUGUGUCACAGGCUCACUUGGAUGAUAUUACAGAAUUUUUUUUUUUUCUUUUUCUGUUAUAGUUGCUUCAAAAUUUUGCAUAUGAUUAGUUGCUUCUUUGUUAUUACUUUGGAUUAUGGAAGAUUACUGAUGCUGCUAAACGUUUGAAUUAACUUUUGAAGUUAAAUAUAAUAUCUUGUCACAAUAAUGAAUUGAGGUUAGGGACAGUCUAAACUUGUAACAAGAAAGUGUUUGGUGUUCGCAUUAUUGCAUUUUCCUACUAAAUAUCUGACCUCUCAGAGAUGAUUUGAGUAAAGUAACAUUUCAUAUUUGUCAACUCUGUCUUAUGUAUAUUUCCUACUUUCUGAUAGUUGGACUAGUUAAGUAUUAUUUUCCUAAAUCUUGUUAGAUUGAUUUCUUGUUCAAGUGUUAUUUUUAUGAUAUACUUUUUUCUCAUGCUUGCACACUAAACUCACUACUACGUCCGAUUUAGUGUGAAUUAUUUGUAUCCUGUCUGUGUUUGUUCCAUAUAUCAUAAGCGUAAUGUUGUUUGAAAUGUUAGUAAGUUGUUGAACUUUGUUGUUGCAGGUGUAUAUCGGCGAAUUCAUUUUUCAUAUUUAAUAUGCUUCAGGUCAGUUGCAGACUUUCUUCUUCUAAUUUCCUUGGUGUUUCAAUUACUUAAUGCUACUCUUUUGGUUAUAUGAUUUGUAAUCUUUAAUUGGAAAUGCGCUAGAAUAUCUACAAUUUAUUACACAUGUAAUAAUGUAAUUCAUAAUUACUUGGCAGGCUUUUGAUCCCCCUAUAGACUUGAGUCAGGAACUUGAUGGUUAUGAAGGCUCAAAUUCUGAAUGUGCUCCACAUGAGAAAUACACUCUAGAUGAAAGGCACGACUCUUCUUGUCAGCCGGCCUUGACCAAUAGUUGUACAUAUCAGGAAGAAAGCAAACACAUUCAUGUACCAAAAGCAGGAGUGUCUGUCGAGGUCAGAUCAAGUCAGUGGAACUAUAUAUUUUUCAUUUAGAAUCUUUAAUUUAUUUGUAGAUAUGCAGGAGCUUCAAAGGAAGGAAGCUCAUGAUCAUUCUCCCAAGGAUCAGUCUGAAAAUGAUGGAGGCCAGUUGAAUCAUGACCAUGGCAGUGUAAUGCGAACACAUACUUAUACCUCUGUUCCUUUCAGAAAACGUGUUGACGAUUCAGACAGCGUUCUACUGUCAAGCAUAGGCUUUGUUGUGUUAUUUUUGGAUCAUAGUUUAUGUCUAUAAAGUUGUCAUAAUUCAUCCCUUUUUGUUUUUUCUAUCUAAUUCUUAUGUUCUUCUAUUCUUUCUUAGGAAUUAUGUGCAUACCAUGAUUGGUUGGAUUCAUCAAUACAGACACAUGUUCCUCUAGUUGAUGUAGAUAAGGUAUGGUUCUCACAUUUACUAUAGCUGAUGAUAUUUAUUUUUCUCAUUCCUAGAUAGUUCAUAAUUAUAUAAGUGCUCUGAUAGUGUGAGACAAUUCGUAAGGCAUGCUGUUAAAAAUCUAUUCUCAAUCUCUAUUAGUCUAUUAGGCAGUACAAUUGAAUAUGCUUGUUGUGGUAUUUCUCGCCAAUAUACACUUUAUUUUCAUGAUUUUGUUGUAUUCUAACACAGGUUCGUUGUAUAAUAAGGAAUAUAGUCCGAGACUGGGCAGCAGAGGUGACCAUACUUUUGUUUGUCAUUUUUAUCUGACAAUGACGUACUCAGAUUCAAUCUUUAAUUUUAUAUUAAGUUUUGUGGUAUAUACUUUUUACUUACAGGGUCAGAGAGAACGAGAUGAAUGUUACAAGCCUAUCCUUGAAGAGCUUGAUUUGUUGUUUCCUGAUCGUCAGAAGGAGAGGUACACCAUGUUACAGCUAAUUGUUCCUGAGUUUCGGGUCUCUGACCUCUUAUCAAUGCAUUCUGAGUUUGUGGAAAAAAGUAUUUUUUUGUCUUUUUUCAACAUCCAACUCUGGUGGUCUGUUGUUGAUCCACGAAGUUCCAUUAUAGAGACUUGACUAACGAGAGACAGGCCAAUUGAUUAAUUUGAUUAAGCACUUUUAGUACCUGCCACGUUCACUCUGCUUACAAAGUUAAUUGUAUGAUUUGCAGCACCCCUCCUGCCUGUUUAGUCCCUGGUGCUGGACUUGGUCGUCUGGCCCUUGAAAUUUCUUGUCUAGGUAGGCAAUGCAGAAGUAAUUUUUUUUGGUAGGUAAUGAUGAUAGGAAUAUAACAAUUCUGUACACUGGGACAGGUUUCAUAAGCCAAGGAAAUGAAUUUUCAUACUACAUGAUGAUAUGCUCAAGUUUUAUUCUGAAUUAGUAAGAGUUUCUUACUCUUUUAAAAUCAACAUUAUCUUUUUAUAUUCCUUAUAUUUGACUUGUCUGUUUCAAAUAGCGUCUCUUUGCCCCUUUUCUACAUUGAGAUUUAUGGUCAUCCAUGUUGUUUAAGAAGAUAGAAAUCAGAUUAUCCCCUAUUCAGUAAUUCAAAUCUUUUUAUUUUUCAUAUCAGCCAACCUUUAAAUUUUCAAACUGUUUAUCUAAAUUGCUCUUGAAGAGUCUACAAUUUAGUUUCUUCUGUAAUGUGUUUCUAAAUUUAGUUAAGAUAGCUUCCUUCUUUUGGUCCAGGUAAGAGUUUUGCUCAGCUUGUUUUCUUUUCUUUUUUCUAUCAGUACGCAAGUCCCUGGUGAGUGGACAAUAUACCCCUGGAUUCACAGCAACUGCAAUUCGCUCUCGGACAAUGAUCAACUACGUCCUAUUGCUAUUCCUGAUAUUCAUCCUGCAAGGUAGGCUUUAUCGAACCGCUGAGAACUGGUCUAUGGUUUUGGGAAUGUGUUGGUAGUUUUAGGUGUAAAGACUUAUCUGGUUUCCUUGUAAAUUACAAUGGAACUCAAUCCAAAGGGAUUAAGCAACUUUUAUUGGUGAUUUCAUGUAGCUAUAUUCAUUUGUGUCACUUUACAAAAAAGGUUUAUGUAAAACUUUUGUGAGCAGUGCUGGAAUAACGGAAGGUUUCUCUAUGUGUGGUGGUGAUUUUGUUGAAGUAUACAAUGAAUCAACUCAUGCAGGUAAGAACGGUGGCUACUUGCUUGUGGUUUUAAGCCAAUACACCCAUUUAAUUGUCACCGUUGAUACUGAAUUUCAGGAAUGUGGGAUGCAGUUGUUACUUGCUUUUUUAUCGACACGGCUCAUAACAUCAUCGAGUACAUUGAAACCAUAUCCAAGAUCUUAAAAGACGGAGGCGUAAUUUCCCUGUCACACUCUUUCUUUUCACCAUUGAUCUUUUCUUUUUUGCUCCUGACAUAUCUACAAUAAUUUUCCCUCAGGUUUGGAUAAAUUUAGGACCACUGUUGUAUCAUUUUGCAGACACAUAUGGCCACGAAAAUGUAAGCAUUGGACUUGUCUCACGAUUCUUGCCAUAACUGUGAUAUCACAAUAUAUUUAUUGUUUCUCCUUAGGAAAUGUCAAUCGAGCUAAGUUUGGAGGAUGUAAAGAGGGUUGCUUCACAUUAUGGAUUCGUGAUUGAGGUAAUCUACACUAUGAAAAUGACAUGUACCAAUAAUAAAGCAUUUCAUGUUCUUCCACACUCAGUGUCUGUCCCAACAUUUGCAGAAAGAAAGAACAAUCGAAACAACUUACACUACAAAUCCCCGAGCUAUGAUGCAGGUCAGAUUUCUCAUGUCCCUUUGGAUUUGAUUAUUUAAACUCAGAUUCCAUCAUCUGUUUCAAUAUUUGGGUGGUUAAUUUGGGAUCGAAAGGUGGAUUAGUCUGUGAUGUUGUGUUUCUAUCUGUGCUGCAGAACCGAUACUAUACUGCCUUCUGGACAAUGAGGAAGAAAUGUGCAAUAUUAGCAACAACUUAACCCAAUUUAUUCUGGACAUUUUUUUCCAUCUUGAUUUCUUUUGUUUUACUUUGAUGAAUUAAUGGUACAAUCUAAACUAAUAGACUUAUGUUAUCGAUUGAUGAAUAAAAAACCUUUGUACUCAACUUCGAGUUAUCCAUUUGCCAGCCUUUAGACUUCACUUAUAUGAUCUUUGUCUUCAACAUAAUUUGGAGGUUCAGAUAUUGCAAUGGCAGGGACUAGCUUAACAAAACAGAAUAAUUAAAGGCAUUCACUUCUGAGUUCUGAGGCUUAGUAUAUACGAAUGUCUGUUUCAAAAACGCUCACCAAUGUUUCUCUCAAAUUUUCAUCUCGUGUAUUAGAAAACAAAAUAAAUUUUGGUAUAGACUAGGUGAUUACAUUACAUAAUAAGGGUAGGAACCUGAAUAUUGUUAUAUAUAAUCAUAAACAUUACAACAUAUGAUAUACCCUCUCUCUUUAAAAAAUAACCGGUCUCUUUCUUAAACCGGCCUUUAGUCAUCUGAAAAAAAUCGGUUUAAAUUAGGUUAUUUCGUUUUCUUAUUCACCUGAAAAAUCGGCGACUUUCUUAAACCUAACUCUUUCUCAAUGCCCUAGUAUAAAUAGGAACCUGAAUUACGAUACAAGAUCAUAACGCAUACCCUCUCUUUUUGGUUUUCGUUCCUUGCGUACAAAGCCAACAUUUUACUCUAUUCCUUUCAGGUUUUAUUCUGUUUGUGUUCUAUUUUCUUCAAGAGAUUCGAUCACAAUGGGAAAACAUGAAGAUCAUAUUGCUUCAGUGAUGAGAAAUAUACCGGAGGAGAUGAUGAGAGAAGUUGUCGGAGAGAGGGUAAAGACCAUGAACGUGAACCAUACGGAAUCACAAGCUGUUGAACCUGCGGCUUACCUUUACUCAUGGCUGAGUAAAUUCUGGGAGGUUCAAGCUGAGAUGGCAGUGGCCAACAAAGAAAAUGAAGAGGCGAGGAUUUUAGGGGAUGGGGUACCAAAGAAGACGAGAAGUCUAGGUGACCGAUCAUCUUCUUGUAGCACAGUGACAACGCCAUGGAUGCGUGAGAUCGAAAACCAAAGAUCAACUACUUCCAUGAAACCAGUACUACCAAACCCUAAUCUGCCUUCUUGCGUUAGAAGUCGGUCCAAGGAUAAACGUCCGGUUGACGUGGAGGAGACAAGUCGCAGGAAACUUAGAGUUUUUCGUAGUUUAGAGGUGGAACCCGUACUACAAAACCCUAAUAUGGAUUCAGAGUCUUCUCGCUUUAGGGGUCGGUGCAAUGGAAAACGUCCCAUUGACGUGGAAGAGAGAAGUCUUGGUGACGGAUCGUCUUCUUCUAUUAGGAUGAGAAGAAGACCAUGGAUGCGUGUGACCGAACAACAAAAUCCAACUACUUCCGUGGAACCAGUAGUACGAAACCCUAAUCAGGAUUCAGAGUCUUCUCGCGUUAGAGGUCGGUCCAAGAAUAAACGUCCCAUUUACGUGGAAAAGAGAAGCCGCAAGAAACGUAAAGUAGUUCGUGCUUUAGAGGUUGAACCGAUUCAAAUGACUCCACCGGAGUGGCUUUUCAACGUGAUGAGGAGAGAAGAGAACGGCUACGAUCCCAAGCUCAUCUCAACUAGGAAACUGUUUCAGACUGAUAUCAACAAAGAUCAAGCACGCCUCUCAGUCCCUUUUAGACAAGUGAAAACUCCAGACUUUUUGACAGAGCAGGAGACAAUAUUCAUACAUGAAUAUGCGAUGAAGACUCGUGUAGAAGGUGUGAGUGUGGAUUUGGUGGAUCCUAACAUGAAGAAGCAUGCCCUUGACUUGAGGAAGUGGAAGAUGAAUGGAAACUGGAUUUAUACCUUCUGUAAAGGUUGGAACAAUGUACUUGAUGCUAAUAGGUCCUUUAAGGUAGAUGACGUCUAUCCUCUCUGGUCCUUCCGAUCUGGAAAAGGAAAACUCUGUUUUGCUCUCGUCCCUUCUCAGGCGACAAGUUCCAGCCACGUCGGCUGCUCCACUUCAAGAGAAUCUGGCCGUGGAAACACUCUUACCGGCGGUGAUGGCGCUUCAACCUCUGGUGAAUCUGGUCAUGUACCAUUACUGGUUAAUCCUCCUUCGCAUCCGGCAAAAGAUUCUACCCACUCCAUCCAAGGCUGUUCAGGAGGGAGCAGCUCGAAUUCUUCCUAAUCAUAUUGUGCUUAUUGCUUGAGCCACAAGUUAAAAAGGGUUUUUGGUUUUCAAGCAAUUCUGGAUAUUAGCCUUUUUUUUUUUUUGGUUUUCUUUCCUUCCUUUUUUCUUAAGUAGAUUGACAUAGGAAGGUUUUGUUUCACAAGGUUUUAGAACAAGCUUACGAAAGUUAGUUUGGUAUUAUUAUUUUUCUAUUGCCUAAAUAUGACAUUUUCAAUGGUUGUUUGAAUAUGGCAUCCAAUCACAAAUUGAUAAUGGUUGUUUAAAUAUGGCA
rnacentral:lncRNA from 1 species